GUUGCUUUUGCUUAUACCAGGAAGUUUUUCAUGCUGGGCUUCGACUUCCUCUUCCACCUUUUGUUGUUGCUCUUUUUUAUUUUUUAAACAUUUCUCUAGUUUCUGUAGCGCCGAACUACUUUAGGUUUCUGAUAGGAUUUCUUUUCCUCUGUUGCUUAGCUGAAGUCCUACCAACUCUUUCUUUGUUUAAAAAUUUUUAUACCUUCAACCGUCAUCCUUCGGCAAAGGACUGGUGGUACUUCUCCCCCUAGUUCGGUAGAAAGGGGUUGCUGAAAGGUGCCCCCUCUUCUAUCCAUAACUAGAAGGAGAAGUACUUCUACAUUUGAUGCCCGACCCUGAUGCUGGGGUUGCCCUCUUGGGGCUCCCUGAGGGACUCCGUCCGUUGGGCUUCUAGCUUGGAAAAGGAUGAUCUUGAAGCCUUCAAUAAACUUAAGGCUUAUCCAGCUCCUCUCCUCUCUGACCUUUUGAAGGAGUAACUCUUAUUUAACGUCAACCUAAGCCCUCUCAACCCUGUCGGUAUUUUAUUUAUUAUUUUUUUUCAAGUCAUUCGCUGCUUCCCUUUUUUUCUUGUUUCAUUUCUAAGCCAUGCCAAUCUUCUUUCAUUGCAGAUAUAGACGCAGAUGCAGCUCGGAUGCUAGCCAAGGGUCUCAAGGCCCACAAGAGGAAAGGCGCCGCAACUUUUGGGUCGGCGAAAAAGGCAAGGGUAGAAGAGAUAGGCUCGACCGUGCCUGCCCAGGCGGCCAUUGCCGUUGAUGCCCCCUCCGAUGUCGAGCCCGCAGUCCCUCGAGCUUCUUCAAGAAGCCCCCCAACCAAGAUUCCCGCUCUAGAGUCUAGCCCCGAGGAGGCACCGGGGGCCAAAAGGAGGAGAAGGAAGAAGACGUUGGCCUGCAAGGUCCGCAGCAGCAGGGCUGCCAUCGAGGAGGCUGACGGCUCCGAAGAGGAUCCGGGGCAGAAUCCCUUCAAUAAUAGGGAUUUAAUAAAGAGAUUGGUCGACGGAUGCGUUCUGCCUGAGGUCAUCCACAGGAUUGUCCAUGCUGAUCCUGAAUAGAGGGUCUGGGACUCUCUGGGGUCCUUUCUUGAGGUAGGCCGAUUUACUUUUUUCUUCCUUUCGCUUCUUUGAUUAGCUUUCAUAUUGACUUUCUGGUUGUUCUUGCAGAUUGGACACCAACUCAUUGCCUACAUCGAGGCGAUGAAUAAUGCCAAGAAGGAAGCAGCCCAGGUGGAGGAAGGUCGCCAGGCAGAAGCUGCCCACAUGAAGGAGAAGGUCGUUGAAGUCGUGAGCCUCCAGGAGGUGCUCCAGAAGGAGGAGCAAUCUUCGAUGGAUCUGAAGGCCGCCUUGGAGGAGGAAAGAAAGAAGACAGAGGCCGAGGUCUCUAAGCUGAAGGAGCAGAUCCUGACCCUAAUCUUGGAGGCAUGGGCCCAAGCAGUGGAGGAGUUCAAGACCUCCUCCGAGAUGAGGGAUCUGAAUGUCCAGUUCGGCCAUGCCACCUUCAUCAAAGGCUUUGAGCUCUGCCAGGAGGUGGUCGGAAAAUUUUUCAAACUCGACCUUGGCUUCCUAGAUGAAGCAUCCGACAAUGAAGCCAGACCUUCCAAAGCUACUUCCAGUCUCCCUCCAGUUGGGACCUCUUCGACUGCUGCAGCUGCUGUGACUGACCUUCCGAGGGUGCCGAGCUCCNNNNNNNNNNNNNNNNNNNNUAUUAACAAAUCAAUUACAAUACUUGGUUGCUCAACCGUCAACAGCUUGACGAUUGGCUUUUUGGGACACAUUUCCCAACAGGUUAAUGGCUGGAGAGGUAUGGAAGACGUCGAAGACAAUCGAUCACUGUAGAAGUUUGAUUGCUGGAGCCCGUCCGUUGUAGAUGUUCGUCCGGAAUCCAACCACUGUAAAAGUUCGGACGGAGUCCGGUUCUUGUAGGAAUCCGAAAUGAAGUCCCUUACUAUAGAAGCUCGGAUGGAGAUUGGUUGCCGUAGAAGUCUGGAUGGAGAUCGCUUAUCGUAGAAGCUCGGAUGAAGAUCGAUUGCCGUAAAAGUCCGGAUGGAGACCGCUUAUCGUAGAAGCUCGGAUGAAGAUCGGUUGCCGUAGAGGUCCGGAUGGAGACUGCUUAUCGUAGAAGCUCGGAUGAAGACCAAUUGCUGUAGAGGUCCGGAUGGAGACCGCUUAUCGUAGAAGCUCGGAUGAAGAUCGAUUGUUGUAGAAGUUUAGAGUAGAAAUCCGACUGCUGGAGCCCAUCCCUUGUAGAAGUCUAUCUGAAAUCCAUCCACUACAGAAGUUUGGAUGGAGUCCGAUUCUUGUAGGAGCUCGGAUGAAAUUUGGAAGGUGAUCGACCACCGCAGAAAGUUGGAUAGAAUUUGGCUACUGUAGAAGUCCUGCUGCUGGAGAAGCUCGGACAUUGACGAAGUCCAGAAGAAGCUCGGAGUAUAGUCGAUCGUGACAGGAGGAAGUCUGGAAGAGAUUCGGAGAGUAGUCGAUCACUGUAGAAAAUUGAAUGAUAGUGAAGCCUAGAGAGCAAUUGAAGCAGUUCGAUAGAUGAAUGAAGGAGCUCAUUAUUGGAGAAGUCUGGAUGGCACAAUAGGAGUUCAUCCGUUGGAGGAAUCUGGAGGACACUGUGGAAGGUCGACUGCUGGAGGAGUUCAGAUGGCACAAUAGGAGUUCAUCCAUUGGUGGAAUCUGGAGGACACUGUGGAAAGUCGACUGCUUGAGGAGUCCGGAUGGUACUGUGGAAGCUCGGAUGGCCGGGGGAGUUCAGAAAGACGCCGCACAAGGUCGGAAGACGGAAGAGUCCUGGGAGGGUUGGCCUCUUACGAACUUUGGCUGAGGUUAUUUUAUACCCAACACCAGUCCCCCUACUUUCGAGUUCGGAUUUCGAAUGAAGUACAGAAAAAUUUUCACAGUCGAAGUUGCCCCCCUUGAUUUUCGUAUUCGAUUGUUUCCAGAUAUUUUGGCAUUUGACGUGCCAGUGCUAGAGUCUUUUCAAAUCGAGGUGACUCAAAAAGAUUUUUUCAGAAUUUCUACUAGAGCAUUGCUCUAGUACGGUACAAUAAUGAUUUUGUUAGUCGUCAGUUGUCUGCCACGAUGAGUGGGAUAUGCGGCGGUUGUAGAUCGACCAAAAGAGAUCUGCAAUCAUUAUUGCACAGGAUCCUGCUGUCUAUUUAAAUCCGUCCCCCUCCUUCAGGGGUUUCACUUUGCCUGGGAUUUUCUUUCGGUCCUCUCUUCUUCCCCGAGAGCUUCAUCCUCCUCCAGCAUCUCUCUUGACCUUAGGCACCCUUCAGGUCGUCCUCCAUCGCUCUUGCUGCCCUUCUUCAUCUCUCGGACCAGCCUAGGUUAGUUCCGUAACCCUUCUUUUUCUUGCUAUUUUUUUCAUUUUAUUCUUCUUCACAUUCUGCCCAUUUGGUUUCUCCAUGAGUGCCUUGUUUCUCAUUUUUUCCAAUUUUUUCGAGAUUUUUUGGGGUUUUCACUUGAUUCAAAAUAUCCUCCGACACUUCCUCCUCUAGCAAUUCUAGAAGUUUGUCCAUUCCGGCCUCCCAAAAUCCUAGUUCUGUAGAUGGACCUCAUCCGAUCUUUGUACCAGACAUCAUUCCCAGCUCUUUGACUUCGGAUGAACUCUCGCUGAUUAGGAUUCAGUAUGGAGUUCCUCCGAAGUACGAGCUUGAGCUUCCCGGGCCAACUGACCGGGCUAGUGCUCCUCCCCCUGGUUGCUUUUGCUUAUACGAGGAAGUUUUUCAUGCUGGGCUUCGACUUCCUCUUCCACCUUUUGUUGUUGCUCUUUUUUAUUUUUUAAACAUUUCUUUAGUUUCUGUAGCGCCGAACUACUUUAGGUUUCUGAUAGGAUUUCUUUUCCUCUGUCGCUUAGCUGAAGUCCUAACAACUCUUUCUUUGUUUAAAAAUUUUUAUACCUUCAACCAUCAUCCUUCGACAA
rnacentral:lncRNA from 1 species